GAUGAACGCUGGCGGCGUGCCUAAUACAUGCAAGUCGAGCGAACGGACGAGAAGCUUGCUUCUCUGAUGUUAGCGGCGGACGGGUGAGUAACACGUGGAUAACCUACCUAUAAGACUGGGAUAACUUCGGGAAACCGUAGCUAAUACCGGAUAAUAUUUUGAACCGCAUGGUUCAAAAGUGAAAGACGGUCUUGCUGUCACUUAUAGAUGGAUCCGCGCUGCAUUAGCUAGUUGGUAAGGUAACGGCUUACCAAGGCAACGAUGCAUAGCCGACCUGAGAGGGUGAUCGGCCACACUGGAACUGAGACACGGUCCAGACUCCUACGGGAGGCAGCAGUAGGGAAUCUUCCGCAAUGGGCGAAAGCCUGACGGAGCAACGCCGCGUGAGUGAUGAAGGUCUUCGGAUCGUAAAACUCUGUUAUUAGGGAAGAACAUAUGUGUAAGUAACUGUGCACAUCUUGACGGUACCUAAUCAGAAAGGCACGGCUAACUACGUG
rnacentral:rRNA from 1 species